UACGUAGGGUGCAAGCGUUAAUCGGAAUUACUGGGCGUAAAGCGUGCGCAGGCGGUUAUGUAAGACAGAUGUGAAAUCCCCGGGCUCAACCUGGGAACUGCAUUUGUGACUGCAUAGCUAGAGUACGGUAGAGGGGGGGAUGGAAUUCCGCGUGUAGCAGUGAAAUGCGUAGAUAUGCGGAGGAACACCGAUGGCGAAGGCAAUCCCCUGGACCUGUACUGACGCUCAUGCACGAAAGCGUGGGGAGCAAACAGG
rnacentral:rRNA from 1 species